rnacentral:tRNA from 1 species
GCCUCGGUAGACGAAUGGCACAGUCACCGGUCUCAAACACCGGGCCGAAAGGCGUGAGGGUUCGAUUCCCUCUCGGGGUAC